GCCUCCUUAGCUCAGUGGUAGAGCAUUGCGCUUGUAUAGACCCUGACGCGGCCGGUUCUGACUGAAUGUCAUUUAUACAAUGCAAAGGCCAGCCGUUCAAUCCGGCUAGGAGGCU